rnacentral:rRNA from 1 species
ACGAACGCUGGCGGCGUGCUUAACACAUGCACGUCGAACGGAAAGGCCCUGCUUUUGUGGGGUGCUCGAGUGGCGAACGGGUGAGUAACACGUGAGUAACCUGCCCUUGACUUUGGGAUAACUUCAGGAAACUGGGGCUAAUACCGGAUAGGAGCUCCUGCUGCAUGGUGGGGGUUGGAAAGUUUCGGCGGUUGGGGAUGGACUCGCGGCUUAUCAGCUUGUUGGUGGGUAGUGGCUUACCAAGGCUUUGACGGGUAGCCGGCCUGAGAGGGUGACCGGCCACAUUGGGACUGAGAUACGGCCCAGACUCCUACGGGAGGCAGCAGUGGGGAAUAUUGCACAAUGGGCGGAAGCCUGAUGCAGCAACGCCGCGUGCGGGAUGACGGCCUUCGGGUUGUAAACCGCUUUCGCCUGUGACGAAGCGUGAGUGACGGUAAUGGGUAAAGAAGCACCGGCUAACUACGUG